UACGGAGGAUGCAAGCGUUAUCCGGAAUUAUUGGGCGUAAAGCGUCCGCAAGUGGCAAUGUAAGUCUGCUGUCAAAGCGUCUGGCUCAACCAGAUAAAGGCAGUGGAAACUACAUAGCUAGAGUAAGGUAGGGGUAGAGGGAAUUCCUGGUGUAGCGGUGAAAUGCGUAGAGAUCAGGAAGAACACCGGUGGCGAAAGCGCUCUGCUGGACCUUAACUGACACUGAGGCGCGAAAGCGUGGGGAGCGAUCCGG
rnacentral:rRNA from 1 species